GUAGGCUGCAACCCGCCUACAUGAAGUCGGAAUUGCUAGUAAUCGUGGAUCAGCAUGCCACGGUGAAUACGUUCCCGGGCCUUGUACACACCGCCCGUCAAACCAUGAGAGUUGGCAACACCCGAAGCCUGUAGCUUAACCGCAAGGAUGGCGCAGUCGAAGGUGGGGUCGAUGAUUAGGGUUAAGUCGUAACAAGGUAGC
rnacentral:rRNA from 1 species